AGGACUAACGCUGGCGGCGUGCCUAACACAUGCAAGUCGAACGAGGGGUAGCAAUACCCCUAGUGGCAGACGGGUGAGUAACACGUAGUCAACCUACCUCUUAAUGGGGGAUAACUAGCCGAAAGGUUAGCUAAUACCGCAUACGAUCGUCGAGUGGCAUCACACGACGAUGAAAGGAGCAAUCCGUUGAGAGAGGGGACUGCGUCCCAUUAGUUAGUUGGUGGGGUAAUGGCCUACCAAGACUCCGAUGGGUAGCUGGCUUGAGAGAGCGACCAGCCACACUGGAACUGAGACACGGUCCAGACUCCUACGGGAGGCAGCAGUGAGGAAUUUUCCGCAAUGGGGGAAACCCUGACGGAGCGACGCCGCGUGUGGGAAGAAGGCCUUCGGUCGUAACCACUGUCGAGGGGACGAUAUUGACGGUACCCCUGGAGGAAGCCCCGGCUAACUACGUGCCAGCAGCCGC
rnacentral:rRNA from 1 species